rfam:Bacterium AM6 strain AM6 2017-02-03-Sterotrophomonas_trimmed_contig_5, whole genome shotgun sequence.
CUUUAUGGCGGGCGGUGCGUGGGGGUCUUCGGAUCCGCCGGUUAACUGCUUACUGUCUUCCCGGCUUGCAGCCAUGCACCGUCCGCCACCCGC